rnacentral:rRNA from 1 species
GUGCAGCAGGCGAGAAACUUCACAAUGUGCGAAAGCACGAUGAGGGAAUCCCAAGUGCUUGCACGUAGGCGUAAGCUGUUUCUCUGUCUAAAACGCAGAGAGAGUAAGGGCUGGGUAAGACGGGUGCCAGCCGCCGCGGUAAUACCUGCAGCUCGAGUGGUGACCGUUAUUAUUGGGCCUAAAACGUCCGUAGCCGGUUUAAUAAAUGCCUGGGUAAAUCGGACCGCUUAACGGUUCGAAUUCCGGGUAGACUGUUAAACUUGAGACCGGGAGAAGUUAGAGGUACUCCUGGGGUAGAGGUGAAAUUCUGUAAUCCUAGGGGGACCACCAGUGGCGAAGGCGUCUAACUAGAACGGGUCUGACGGUGAGGGACGAAGCCCUGGGGCGCAAACGGGGA